GACGAACGCUGGCGGCGUGCUUAACACAUGCAAGUCGAACGGAAAGGCCCUGCUUUUGUGGGGUGCUCGAGUGGCGAACGGGUGAGUAACACGUGAGUAACCUGCCCUUGACUUUGGGAUAACUUCAGGAAACUGGGGCUAAUACCGGAUAGGAGCUCCUGCUGCAUGGUGGGGGUUGGAAAGUUUCGGCGGUUGGGGAUGGACUCGCGGCUUAUCAGCUUGUUGGGGGGGUAGUGGCUUACCAAGGCUUUGACGGGUGGCCGGCCUGAGAGGGUGACCGGCCACAUUGGGACUGAGAUACGGCCCAGACUCCUACGGGAGGCAGCAGUGGGGAAUAUUGCACAAUGGGCGGAAGCCUGAUGCAGCAACGCCGCGUGCGGGAUGACGGCCUUCGGGUUGUAAACCGCUUUCGCCUGUGACGAAGCGUGAGUGACGGUAAUGGGUAAAGAAGCACCGGCUAACUACGUG
rnacentral:rRNA from 1 species